rnacentral:lncRNA from 1 species
GCUUGGCAAACACUAAGGAUGCGUUUGGUUAUACUUUUUGAUUUUUGAUUUUUAAAAAAUAUUUUUAAUUUUUUUUAAUUUUUGCUAUUGAGUAAAAAUAAAAAAAAAGUAAAAAGUAUGUUUAGUAACUACGUUGCUAUAAAGCAAAAUGCAAGAUUUGGGGAUGGCAGGUGAAGAGCUUGACGAGAGAGAAGGAUUCAGGA